rnacentral:rRNA from 1 species
CUACGGGUUGCAGCAGUGGGGAAUAUUGGACAAUGGGGGAAACCCUGAUCCAGUAAUGCCGCGUGUGUGAAGAAGGCCUGCGGGUUGUAAAGCACUUUCGGUUGGGAGGACUGCUUCUAGCACUAAUAUUGUUGGAAGUUGACGUUACCUUCAGAAGAAGCACCGGCUAACUCCGUGCCGGCAGCCGCGGGUAAUACGGAGGGUGCAAGCGUUAAUCGGAAUUACUGGGCGUAAAGCGCGCGUAGGCGGCUAGAUCAGUCGGGUGCGAAAGCCCCGGGCUUAACCUGGGAACUGCAUCCGAUACUGUCUAGCUUGAGUACAGGAGAGGAGAGUGGAAUUCCACAUGUAGCGGUGAAAUGCGUAGAUAUGUGGAGGAACACCAAUGGCGAAGGCAGCUCUCUGGCCUGAUACUGACGCUGAGGUGCGAAAGCGUGGGGAGCAAACAGGAUUAGAUACCCGAGUAGUC